GUUCGGGCUCGGCCGGUUGUUCGGGCUCGGCCGGCUUGGGCUCGGCCGUUGGCUCGGGCUUCGGUUCGGGUUCGGGUUCGGGGGC
rnacentral:tRNA from 1 species